UAUAAAGGGGAUAUACAAAGAUGUUCACAAGUUCACACCAACCCAAGAUAUCGAACCAACAACUUCCACGCGAAAUCCUCUUAUGUUUGGAAAGAAGAGGAAGGACUUGUUCAAAGCAAAACCAAGCAAGAACCCGAAAAGUGACAACUUUGAACCAUCAGAUCAGACCAGCACAAAUACAUUGGCUCAAUCUGACACCGAAGACCUUACCUAACCACUUCUGCUUUGCAAUGCAACUUUUUGUUUUGUGAUGAGGACCAAUAUCUAUGGGUUUUUGUAAUGCUUACUGUCCUUGAAAAACAAUGUCAUGCUAUGUACAUAUAAGCACUGGUUGUCAGGACCAUUCUCUAUGUUUUUUGUAAUGCUAAUGGUCCCUGAGAAACAAUCAACCAAGAUAGCAGACAUUUUGUACAUUACUGAUCAAUGUACAUAAAAGCUUUUUGCUAUU